GACGAACGCUGGCGGCGUGCCUAAUACAUGCAAGUAGAACGCUGAAGGAGUAGCUUGCUUCUCUGGAUGAGUUGCGAACGGGUGAGUAACGCGUAGGUAACCUGCCUGGUAGCGGGGGAUAACUAUUGGAAACGAUAGCUAAUACCGCAUAAGAGUAGAUGUUGCAUGACAUUUGCUUAAAAGUUGCAAUUGCAUCACUACCAGAUGGACCUGCGUUGUUUUAGCUAGUUGGUGGGGUAACGGCUCACCAAGGCGACGAUACAUAGCCGACCUGAGAGGGUGGUCGGCCAAACUGGGAAUGGGACAAGGCCCAGAAUCCUACGGGAGGCAGCAGUAGGGAAUCUUAGGCAAUGGACGGAAGUCUGAACGAGCAACGCCGAGGGAGUGAAGAAGGUUUUCGGAUCGUAAAGCUCUGUUGUAAGAGAAGAAAGAGUGUGAGAGUGGAAAGUUCACACUGUGACGGUAUCUUAACAGAAAGGGACGGCUAACUACGUG
rnacentral:rRNA from 1 species